rnacentral:rRNA from 1 species
AUUGAACGCUGGCGGCAUGCCUUACACAUGCAAGUCGAACGGUAACGCGGGGUAACCUGGCGACGAGUGGCGAACGGGUGAGUAAUGCAUCGGAACGUGCCCAGUAGUGGGGGAUAGCCCGGCGAAAGCCGGAUUAAUACCGCAUACGACCUACGGGUGAAAGCGGGGGAUCGCAAGACCUCGCGCUAUUGGAGCGGCCGAUAUCAGAUUAGGUAGUUGGUGGGGUAAAGGCCUACCAAGCCUACGAUCUGUAGCUGGUCUGAGAGGACGACCAGCCACACUGGGACUGAGACACGGCCCAGACUCCUACGGGUGGCUG